rnacentral:tRNA from 1 species
GGUGGCUCAGUGGUAGAGUGCUUGCUUUGCAUGCAUGAAACCCUGGGUUCGAUUCCUCAGCACCA